UACGUAGGUGACAAGCGUUGUCCGGAUUUACUGGGCGUAAAGGGCGCGUAGGCGGUGUGUCAAGUCAGGCGUGAAAGCCCCGGGCUCAACCUGGGAACAGCGCUUGAGACUGGCACGCUCGAGUUCGGGAGAGGAUGGUGGAAUUCCCAGUGUAGAGGUGAAAUUCGUAGAUAUUGGGAAGAACACCGAUGGCGAAGGCAGCCAUCUGGACCGACACUGACGCUGAGGCGCGAAAGCGUGGGGAGCAAACAGG
rnacentral:rRNA from 1 species